rnacentral:rRNA from 1 species
GGGGCACCUGAUCUAGCCAUGCCGCGUGAGUGAUGAAGGCCCUAGGGUCGUAAAGCUCUUUCGCCAGGGAUGAUAAUGACAGUACCUGGUAAAGAAACCCCGGCUAACUCCGUGCCAGCAGCCGCGGUAAUACGGAGGGGGUUAGCGUUGUUCGGAAUUACUGGGCGUAAAGCGCGCGUAGGCGGAUCAGAAAGUUGGGGGUGAAAUCCCGGGGCUCAACCCCGGAACUGCCUCCAAAACUCCUGGUCUUGAGUUCGAGAGAGGUGAGUGGAAUUCCGAGUGUAGAGGUGAAAUUCGUAGAUAUUCGGAGGAACACCAGUGGCGAAGGCGGCUCACUGGCUCGAUACUGACGCUGAGGUGCGAAAGUGUGGGGAGCAAACAGGAUUAGAUACCCCGGUAGUCACA